AUUGAACGCUGGCGGCAGGCCUAACACAUGCAAGUCGAGCGGAUGAAGGGAGCUUGCUCCUGGAUUCAGCGGCGGACGGGUGAGUAAUGCCUAGGGAUCUGCCUGGUAGUGGGGGAUAGCGUCCGGAAACGGGCGCUAAUACCGCAUACGUCCUGAGGGAGAAAGUGGGGGAUCUUCGGACCUCACGCUAUCAGAUGAGCCUAGGUCGGAUUAGCUAGUUGGUGGGGUAAAGGCCUACCAAGGCGACGAUCCGUAACUGGUCUGAGAGGAUGAUCAGUCACACUGGAACUGAGACACGGUCCAGACUCCUACGGGAGGCAGCAGUGGGGAAUAUUGGACAAUGGGCGAAAGCCUGAUCCAGCCAUGCCGCGUGUGUGAAGAAGGUCUUCGGAUUGUAAAGCACUUUAAGUUGGGAGGAAGGGCAGUAAGUUAAUACCUUGCUGUUUUGACGUUACCAACAGAAUAAGCACCGGCUAACUUCGUG
rnacentral:rRNA from 1 species